rnacentral:rRNA from 1 species
GACAGAGGAGCCAAGCGUUGUUCGGAAUCAUUGGGCGUAAAGCGCGUGUAGGCGAUUAGUUAAGUCGAUUGUGAAAUCCCUGGGCUCAACCGAGGAAGUGCAGUCGAAACUAACUAGCUAGAGGACGGCAGAGGAAGGUGGAAUUCCAAGUGUAGAGGUGAAAUUCGUAGAUAUUUGGAGGAAUACCUGUGGCGAAGGCGGCCUUCUGGACCGGUCCUGACGCUGAGACGCGAAAGCGU